CGAUAGCUAUCGGAACGGCAUCCUUUGUUUUUUUGCAGAAAAAACAAAGAUAUAGCGCAGAGUAUAUGGG
rnacentral:misc_RNA from 1 species